rnacentral:rRNA from 2 species
GGACUACUGGGGUAUCUAAUCCCGUUUGCUCCCCUGGCCUUCGUGCCUCAGCGUCAGUAACUGUCCAGAGAUUCGCCUUCGCCACUGGUCUUCCUUACGAUAUCUACGCAUUUCACUGCUACACCGUAAAUUCCAAUCUCCUCUCCAGUACUCAAGCAAGGCAGUAUCCAAUGCAGUUCCGGGGUUGAGCCCCGGGAUUUCACAUCAGACUUACCCCGCCGCCUACGCACCCUUUACGCCCAAUGAAUCCGAACAACGCUUGAGACCUCUGUAUUACCGCGGCUGCUGGCAC